UACGGAGGGUGCAAGCGUUGUUCGGAAUUAUUGGGCGUAAAGGGCGCGUAGGCGGCAGUGUAAGUCAGACGUGAAAUACUCUGGCUCAACCAGAGAACUGCAUCUGAUACUGCACAGCUAGAGUACAGGAGAGGGAAACGGAAUUCCCGGUGUAGAGGUGAAAUUCGUAGAUAUCGGGAGGAACACCAGUGGCGAAGGCGGUUUCCUGGCCUGAUACUGACGCUGAGGCGCGAAAGCGUGGGGAG
rnacentral:rRNA from 1 species